CAAGACUUUUGAUCUCAUAUUUAAUGGAUGUAAAUGCAGAUGUGAGCUUAUAUCCAAAGGAAAGUAUGAAUAAAGGUUAUCUGUGAUGCUUAUUGAGCGUUGCAAAGUCCCAGAAAAGUGUGUAGAUGUCGAAACGAAGCAAGAUCCAGUGGCUGCUGUUGGUGCCCAGAAUUGCCAAGGGAGCAACUUCAAGCUCUGAUUUGAUCGUCUUGAAGCUGUUUUUCUUGAAACCUCUCAACGCAAAAGUUUCUCUAAUGAAAUGUAGAAGACGCAGAAACAUAGAAAUCACCAGAAAGAUCUCAAUAGAAGCGGGAAAAUGAUGACGAACAUGACUGGUCGACCAGCCUGUUCACUGUUUUGGAAGAAAACUUUUUUAGGAAGGCAGUUUCAGGCUUCGAUUUGAGGGCUCCGUACU
rnacentral:lncRNA from 1 species